GCCGUUGGAGACCACAACGUUGAUAGGUGGGGUGUGUAAGCGCGGCGACGUGUUGAGCUAACCCAUACUAAUUACCCGUGAGGCUUAACCAU
rnacentral:rRNA from 2 species